GUACAACCUGAAACCACUCAGAAUGGCCGUCAUUGAAAGUUUACAAGUAGUAAAUGCUAGAGGAGUUUCCUUGUGGUGCCACAGGCUAAGGACCCAGUGCUGUCAGUGCUGUGGCUCGGGUAACUGCUGAGGUGCAGGUUUUUUUUUUUGUCUUUGUUGUUGUUGUUGUUGUUGUUAUUGUUGCUAUUUCUUGGGCCGCUCCCGCGGCAUAUGGAGGUUCCCAGGCUAGGGGUUGAAUCGGAGCUGUAGCCACCGGCCUACGCCAGAGCCACAGCAACGCGGGAUCCGAGCCACGUCUGCAACCCACACCACAGCUCACGGCAACGCCGGAUCGUUAACCCACUGAGCAAGGGCAGGGACCGAACCCGCAACCUCAUGGUUCCUAGUCGGAUUCGUUAACCACUGCGCCACGACGGGAACUCCAGAGGUGCAGGUUUGAUCCCUGGCCUGGGAGCUUCCAUAUGCUUCAGGUGUUGCCCCUGCCCCCACCCCCCCAAAAAAGAAUAAAUGUUGGUGAGGGUGUGUAGAAAAGGGAGCCCUCCUACACGGUUGGUAGAAUGUAAAUGUAGGCAGCCACUAUGGAGUAGAGUAUGGAGGUUCCUUAAAAAACUGAAAGUUACCAUAUGAUCCAGCAAUUUCAUUCCUGCAUAUAUAUCUGGAUAAGGUGAAAACUAAUUUGAAAAGAUACAUGCACCUCAGUGUUCAUUGCAGGGCUAUUUUACAAUAGCCAAGAUAUAGAAGCAAUCUAAAUGUCCAUUGACAGAUGAAUGAAUCAAGAAGGUGUGGUAUCUAUACACAAUGGAAUAUUACUCAGCCGUAAAAAGGAAUGAAAUAAUGCCAUUUGUAGCAAUAUAGAUGGACCUAAGGAGUAUCAUACUAAGUAAGUCAAAGACAAAAAUCAUAUGAUAUCAUUUAUAUGUGGAAUCUAAAAGGUACCAAUGAACUUAUUUACAAAACAGAAAGGGAGCAGCCCUAAAAAGACAGAAAGACCAAAAAAAAAAGACUGGUUAGGUAAAUCAUGCUGUAGCCACACAAUGAAUGCUGUUCAGCCCCUGAAAAGAUCGGUAGUUGAUCCCGUGUCUAACGUGCUUUUAUUUAGCUUCUGUGCCCCAAAUCAGUUUCUGGUCUCUUAGCUCCAGAUUUGCUCGUCUCGCCUGAUCUUUGAAAAUAGGUCUGAUCCUUUUAAAUGAUUGUUCUUUGUCAUCUGAGAGGUAAUAUACUGAUAACGGGCCCCGCUUUUUAAAAAACAGAAGGGGGUGGGGAAAAGAUGAUGUUUGUACAGCUCUGCAUAUGUGUGAGUAUCUUCUGGAAGCUGCAUGAAAGGGUUACCUCUCAGGGUGGGACUGGCAUCUGGUGGAAGAGAGACUCAAAGUUUCUUUUAACCAUGUGCCUGUUUUAUUUCCAUAGAGAAAAAGACAAAACUUGAGUUAGACAUUAAAGAAAACUUGCAGUAACAGAGAAACAGACUAGCUGGAAAUAUGAAAUACUGUAAAGAUGUCAUUUAAUCAGAAUUAAUUUAUAGGUUCAAUGCAGUCAUGGCAGAGUUAAAAAAAAAAAAAAAAAAACAAAAACCCGAGGUGGAGGCAGGGCAUGGUUUUUAUUGGUAAGAAGCUUAGCGUAUAGUUUGGGAGACAGAAACAUAAUGUUCACCAAAAAAAUGCCUUGAACACAGUUACAAAGCAAUAUAUCAAGAGCAAAGCAAUAAAAUUGAAUACAUAUGUAUUAUGGGAACUCAGAGUCCUUUGAGAGAAUAGAAUGGAGUUAAUCAGCAAAGGAUACUUAAAAAAAAAAAAAAAA
rnacentral:lncRNA from 1 species